UACGAAGGGGGCUAGCGUUGCUCGGAAUCACUGGGCGUAAAGCGCACGUAGGCGGAUCUUUAAGUCAGGGGUGAAAUCCUGGAGCUCAACUCCAGAACUGCCUUUGAUACUGGGGAUCUCGAGUCCGGAAGAGGUGAGUGGAACUCCGAGUGUAGAGGUGAAAUUCGUAGAUAUUCGGAAGAACACCAGUGGCGAAGGCGGCUCACUGGUCCGGUACUGACGCUGAGGUGCGAAAGCGUGGGGGAGCAAACAGG
rnacentral:rRNA from 1 species